AUGCGUUUGUUAAGGCGAGUACAACGGACGGCCAAACGAGCCGCCGUCUUGCGGCUUGUGCGCGUGCGAGUUUGCGUGCAGCGAGUGCUGUAUCUACAGGCGACAUCUGGCGGCGAAAGGCGCGUGACUCGGCAAGAAAGGAGACCGCGCGAUUAACUUCGGCUUGAUUCGAACAGACGAACGCGAGGGAAAGACUUGCAGAGAGUGAGGGCCAAUGAGGCAAAAGGUGAAAAGAAGGCCGCCGGCUUGGCUAUAACGUGAACAGCCUGCGUCGGAGCUCGGGGCUCGAGGUCGAGGAAAGGUUGAGGAAAGGGAUCGGCCGGGCGAGUCUGGUUACGCUGCGUUCUCGACUGUGCGUGUACGCUUCGCGUUAACCCGGUUAGUGUCCGAGGCAGGCAUGGUCUAUACUGCCUUCGCUUUCGCCCUGCUGGCGCUCGCAAUGACUUUGGCGGUGCUCGUUGAGCGCACAGAGGCGGUACCCGAAAUCGUGACCGACAGAAGGUGCAACGUUGCCGGCGAGACCUACAGGACGGCGAGGGCCGGCUGUGCCGAGACCGCAUGUGACCAGCGCCCCGCGAAGGGCGGCUGCGGAGGCAGGAUCGUGCGGGGUUGUUUCUGCAGACCGGGACUGCGCCGCAACCGACAGAAAGUUUGUGUGCUGCCCGUCGAGUGUCCCUGAACUGCAGCGCAUGAAAGACAGUCGGCAGGCGAACGGCAGGAAAUGAAAUCAACGAGGCGCGCAGCCCGUGUGCUACCCUGAGCAAAGGCCGGAACGAAGGGAUGGCGAGACAGACUACAUACGAGCCCUGCGCGCGCGGACGUAUAUGCUGGCCAGAUCGAAGUAAACCUCAUUACCACGACA